AUUGAACGCUGGCGGCAGGCUUAACACAUGCAAGUCGAGCGGGGGGAGGUAGCUUGCUACCUAACCUAGCGGCGGACGGGUGAGUAAUGCUUAGGAAUCUGCCUAUUAGUGGGGGACAACAUUUCGAAAGGGAUGCUAAUACCGCAUACGCCCUAAGGGGGACAGCAGGGGAUCUUCGGACCUUGCGCUAAUAGAUGAGCCUAAGUCGGAUUAGCUAGUUGGUGGGGUAAAGGCCUACCAAGGCGACGAUCUGUAGCGGGUCUGAGAGGAUGAUCCGCCACACUGGGACUGAGACACGGCCCAGACUCCUACGGGAGGCAGCAGUGGGGAAUAUUGGACAAUGGGGGGAACCCUGAUCCAGCCAUGCCGCGUGUGUGAAGAAGGCCUUUUGGUUGUAAAGCACUUUAAGCGAGGAGGAGGCUACCGAGAUUAAUACUCUUGGACAGUGGACGUUACUCGCAGAAUAAGCACCGGCUAACUCUGUGCCAGCCGCCGCAGUAAUAC
rnacentral:rRNA from 1 species